GACGAACGCUGGCGGCGUGCUUAACACAUGCAAGUCGAACGAAAAGAGGGAAAGAGCUUGCUCUUUCCGGAAUUGAGUGGCAAACGGGUGAGUAACACGUAAACAACCUGCCUUCAGGAUGGGGACAACAGACGGAAACGACUGCUAAUACCGAAUAAGUUCCAAGAGCCGCAUGGCCCAUGGAAGAAAAGGUGGCCUCUACCUGUAAGCUAUCGCCUGAAGAGGGGUUUGCGUCUGAUUAGCUGGCUGGAGGGGUAACGGCCCACCAAGGCGACGAUCAGUAGCCGGUCUGAGAGGAUGAACGGCCACACUGGAACUGAGACACGGUCCAGACUCCUACGGGAGGCAGCAGUGGGGAAUCUUCCGCAAUGGGCGAAAGCCUGACGGAGCAACGCCGCGUGAGUGAUGACGGCCUUCGGGUUGUAAAACUCUGUGAUCCGAGACGAAAGGGCAGAGUGCGAAGAACAAACUGCAU
rnacentral:rRNA from 1 species